CGGUGAAUACGUUCCCGGACCUUGCACACACCGCCCGUCAAGCCACGGAAGCUGGGUGUACCUAAAGUCGGUAACCUCAAGGAGCCGCCUAGGGUAAAACUAGUGACUGGGGCU
rnacentral:rRNA from 1 species